GUGCCAGCAGCCGCGGUAAUACCGGCAGCUCAAGUGAUGUCCCAUAUUAUUGGGCCUAAAGCGUCCGUAGCCGGCCGGGCAAGUCCGUCGGGAAAUCCACCCGCUUAACGGGUGGGCGUCCGGCGGAAACUGCUCGGCUUGGGACCGGAGGACCCGAGGGGUACGUCCGGGGUAGGAGUGAAAUCCUGUAAUCCUGGACGGACCGCCGGUGGCGAAAGCGCCUCGGGAAGACGGACCCGACAGUGAGGGACGAAAGCUGGGAUCUCGAACCGGAUUAGAUACCCGUGUAGUCC
rnacentral:rRNA from 1 species